ACAUCAGCGCAUUGUGUGCAGCGGGGGCCUUUGGGGAAGAAUUGAGACAGGAGUCACCGGCGGCACCCCUCCCCUGAAGUGCUUCUGAACAGUGAGAACGUGAAGAUCUCGCCGGUGCUGGGUUGCUUUCUAAGGAAUGCAGGCAACAGACACAGUUCAAGGUUUCCAGAGGACCUUGCACUGGGAUGUUUGAAAUGAAGAAUCCAGCAAGACAGGAGCAAAGGAGCUCACAAUGAAGGGAAAUGUGGACGAGGCUAGAGGCCUGGAAGGUGGCAGUUACUGGGGUCUGUCACUUGUGUAAUCAAAUAGCGAUGGGGAGGAUCCCAACAAAGUCCCUUGGGACCAGAACACAGGAGC
rnacentral:lncRNA from 10 species